GACGAACGCUGGCGGCGUGCCUAAUACAUGCAAGUAGAACGCUGAAGGAGGAGCUUGCUUCUCUGGAUGAGUUGCGAACGGGUGAGUAACGCGUAGGUAACCUGCCUGGUAGCGGGGGAUAACUAUUGGAAACGAUAGCUAAUACCGCAUAAGAGUAGAUGUUGCAUGACAUUUGCUUAAAAGGUGCAAUUGCAUCACUACCAGAUGGACCUGCGUUGUAUUAGCUAGUUGGUGGGGUAACGGCUCACCAAGGCGACGAUACAUAGCCGACCUGAGAGGGGGAUCGGCCACACUGGGACUGAGACACGGCCCAGACUCCUACGGGAGGCAGCAGUAGGGAAUCUUCGGCAAUGGACGGAAGUCUGGCCGAGCAACGCCGCGUGAGUGAAGAAGGGUUUCGGAUCGUAAAGCUCUGUUGUAAGAGAAGAACGAGUGUGAGAGUGGAAAGUUCACACUGUGACGGUAUCUUACCAGAAAGGGACGGCUAACUACGUG
rnacentral:rRNA from 1 species